rnacentral:rRNA from 1 species
AAAAAAAAACACAUGAGUAACCUGCCCUUGACUUUGGGAUAACUUCAGGAAACUGGGGCUAAUACCGGAUAGGAGCUCCUGCUGCAUGGUGGGGGUUGGAAAGUUUCGGCGGUUGGGGAUGGACUCGCGGCUUAUCAGCUUGUUGGUGGGGUAGUGGCUUACCAAGGCUUUGACGGGUAGCCGGCCUGAGAGGGUGACCGGCCAGAUUGGGAAUGAGAUUAGGCACAGACUCCUAAGGGAGGAAGAAGUGGGGAAUAUUGCACAAGGGGAGGAAGCCGGAUGUAGCAACGCCUUUUUUUU